UGGUCCCGUGCUGUCGGUGUCGGGAGCGGGAAGCAUGGGCGACAGGUGGGAGCUGGGGGCCGCGGCGGGCGGUUCUCUGCUGCUGUGCGCCGCGCUGCUGGCGGCGGGUUGCGCCCUGGGCCUGCUCCUGGGCCGCGGGCGGGGGGCGGCGGACCGCUGGGCGCUGGUCUGGCUCUGCUACGACGCGCUGGUGCACUUCGUGCUGGAAGGCCCUUUUGUCUACUUGUCUUUAGUAGGAAACGUUGCAAAUUCCGAUGGCUUGAUAGCUUCUUUAUGGAAGGAAUAUGGCAGAGCUGAUGCGAGAUGGCUUUAUUUCGAUCCAACCAUUGUGUCUGUGGAAAUUCUGACUGUCGCCCUGGAUGGGUCUCUGGCGUUGUUCCUCAUUUAUGCCAUAGUCAAAGAGAAAUAUUACCGGCAUUUCCUGCAGAUCACCCUGUGUGUGUGUGAGCUGUACGGCUGCUGGAUGACCUUCCUCCCAGAGUGGCUCACCAGGAGCCCCAACCUCAACACCAGCAACUGGCUCUACUGUUGGGUUUACCUGUCUUUUUUUAAUGGUGUGUGGGUUCUGAUCCCAGGACUGCUACUUUGGCAGUCACGGGUAGAACUCAACAAAAUGCAUCAGAAAGAAACCAGUUCAGUGAAAAAGUUUCAGUGAAUUUUCAAAACCAUAAACACUAUGCUCUGACUUUUUGAGCCAGAAUGAAUCAAAUGUUUUUGUUUGCCCAAAAUGUAAUACAUUCCAGUCUACGCUUUCUUUUUGUAUUUUUGCUCCUGAACAACCUGUUUCAAAGGUUUUAAGGCGACCCGUUUUCAUUGUGGUGGUGGUGUCCAAUUAAAUGGGGAGAUGGGGAAAAGAGAACAAGUCAAACUUACAAUAAUAACACACUUAAUUAUACAUUUUAUGUCUGGCAUUAAUUGUUCCACAAUAGUAAAACCAAUUGUCUUAG